rnacentral:rRNA from 1 species
GAGUCAUUGGGAUUAAUCGAACCUAAGGCGCAAUGAAAGUAAAGGUUCGCCUCGCGCGAACCUAGGGAGGAUGGGCGCGUCGCCGUACGCGCCCCGCACUCCCGGGGCGUCUCGUUCUCAUUGCGAGAAGAGGCGCACCUAGAGCGUACACGCUGGGACCCGAAAGAUGGUGAACUAUGCUUGGUCAGGACGAAGUCAGGGGAAACCCUGAUGGAGGUCCGUAGCGAUUCUGACGUGCAAAUCGAUCGUCGGAACUGAGUAUAGGAGCGAAAGACUAAUCGAACCAUCUAGUAGCUGGUUCCCUCCGAAGUUUCCCUCAGGAUAGCUGGCGCUCGCCUUUGCGAGUCUCAUUCGGUAAAGCGAAUGAUUAGAGGCAUUGGGGUCGAAACGGCCUCAACCUAUUCUCAAACUUUAAAUGGGUGAGAUCUCCGGCUUGCUUAAAUAGUGAAGCCGCGAGACAACAUUGGAUCAGAGUGCCAAGUGGGCCACUUUUGGUAAGCAGAACUGGCGCUGUGGGAUGAACCAAACGCCGAGUUAAAGCGCCUAAAUCGACGCUUAUGGGAUACCAUAAAAGGCGUUGGUAACUUAAGAC